CCUACGGGGGGCUGCAGUGGGGAAUAUUGGACAAUGGGGACAACCCUGAUCCAGCCAUGCCGCGUGUGUGAAGAAGGCCCUCGGGUUGUAAAGCACUUUCAGUGAGGAAGAACGCCUGGUGGUUAAUACCCAUCAGGAAAGACAUCACUCACAGAAGAAGCACCGGCUAACUCCGUGCCAGCAGCCGCGGUAAUACGGAGGGUGCGAGCGUUAAUCGGAAUUACUGGGCGUAAAGCGCGCGUAGGUGGCUUGAUAAGCCGGUUGUGAAAGCCCCGGGCUCAACCUGGGAACGGCAUCCGGAACUGUCAAGCUAGAGUGCAGGAGAGGAAGGUAGAAUUCCCGGUGUAGCGGUGAAAUGCGUAGAGAUCGGGAGGAAUACCAGUGGCGAAGGCGGCCUUCUGGACUGACACUGACACUGAGGUGCAAAAGCGUGGGUAGCAAACAGGAUUAGAUACCCUAGUAGUC
rnacentral:rRNA from 1 species